rnacentral:lncRNA from 1 species
GGAAUAAUGUGGGAGGCUGGAUUGAAGUCUGGGCCAGGAACAACGGUAAUUGUGGGAGACUCAACAAAGAAAGACUUGAGGAGAAAAGGAGAGAUGUUGGAAUGAACAAGCAGUCCAUGGAGCAGUUACACACACUCAUCAAUUAAGUUUGCUGUCUUAUAUGAGGGAAAUUCAUGGUACCCCAAAACAAUUACCAUAGUAACAUUAAAUAACACUGAUCAGAG